rnacentral:rRNA from 1 species
GUAGAAUUUCCUGGGUAGCGGUGAAAAGUGGACAUAUUGAAGGCACACCAAUCCCGAAGGCGACCACCUGGGCUCAUACUGACAUUGAGGUGCGAAAGCCUGGGAGCAAACAGGAUUAGAUACCCUGGUAGUGCACGCCGUAAAAGAUGUCAACUUGCCGUUGGAAUCCUUGAAAUUUCAGCGGCGUAGGUCACGCAUUAAGUUGACCGCCUGGGGAGCACGUCCGCAAGGUUAAAACUCAAAUGAACUGUCGGGGGCCCGCACCAGCGGUGGAGCAUGUACGCACAUUAAAUCAACGUGAAGAACCCUACCUGGCCAUUACAUGCAGAGAACUCUCCAAAGAAGGAGUUGCGCCUUCGGGAAGUAAGACCCAGACGGCACAGUGUUGUCGUCAGGUCCUUUCUUGAAAAGUAAGGUUAAGUACAGUAAGGAGGCCAACCCUUGUCACUAGGGAUCGGCGGGUUAGGGUGGGCACCCUAAGGAGAAUUCCGGGGAGAAAGCCGACGGAAGGGGGGUAUGACCGUAAUUCAAUUUCGGCCCUUAAUGCCUUGGCU